GCAUCGAUAACAUCGUCAAGUUCGUGAUUGAGGCCAGUGAUGAACUCAUACACGCGUUCGUUUUCAAGCUUCUUUUUAUUUUUUUACUUAACACUGUCUCCGAGGCAUUUCCAAUCUUCCUCGCUACUGAGGUCCAGUUCAUGCCAGAGAGAGGUCAUCUCUAACUAAUAUUCAGUAAAGUUUAUUCCUCCUUGUUUAGUAUGCCAUAACCAAGUCUUUAGUUCAAAAAUUUGAGAUGAAUUUUCUGAGUGUGAAUAUAUCUCUUUGACAACGUCCUACACGUUCUUCGCGAUCGGCAGGAAGAGAUACGUUUUCCUAAUUGACGGCACCAUGGAAUUUAUCGACCAUGCUAUAACCAUGGAGUUUUUCGAAUUUCUAUUUUUGCAAGAGAACUACAUUAGUUGGCUUUUUGGUUACACCUGUUGGGUAACUUAGCUUUCAUUUGCCAUCAAUUACCAAUUUUAUUGAUUGAACACAUUCUCUGAAGUUUCUUCCAUUCAAUUUCUCCAACGUAAGUUGAAAGGGAGCAUUAUCUACUUCGAUCGAGGGCAUCAUAGAAUUCAUUUUUGCCUCGCUAUGUGAGGAUUUAGAGGUCAUGGAGCCUAAACCGUUGAUAAGGACUUCCGUCAUUGAUUUCAACAUGUCUCUGAUACCCUGAAAGCAUAAAUUAUUUUCUGUAUUUCUUAUUCUUCAAAAAAUAACUAUACAUCCACUUUAUAAUACAACCGUGUGAAGAAAAAGGGAAAGAAUCCCCUAAAUUAGGAGAGAGUAAAUCACCUAAUUAUAGUCUACUAACUAUGGUAAUGUUUAAAUACGAUAAAUAAAUUAAAAUCUUUUAGGAUUUUUACAUAAAUCAUUCAAUAGAACCAUCUUGAGUAUACGAGAGAAGCCUAUUCUUAUGAUGUUAUAUGAAAAAUAGAACAUUUGCAAGGUUUGAAUAUGCAGAGUAUUCGAGGAUCAAAGAUUCUAACUAAGUGCUACAUGCAAUUCAUCUUGGUGUGAGGACAUCUUCAUGUUCUUAGAAGUUGACUAGGAUUCCUUGCAGCCAUGGCAUUGCUUCAAUACUCUCUCGUAGCAUCUAUUUUAUCAAGAACUAUGUUGAUGAUGUUUACAAGAAGGAUGCAUAUACUCGAACUUACACACUUUCCAUUUUCCCAAUCACAGGUUCAAAUUCGUGGCCAAAUCUAGGACUAAAUCCAUUGACUCCUCAAGAGUACACUAAGAGGGCAAGAAGACCAAAAAAGAAUAGGAUGAAUGAGGUGAAAGAACGGUCAACACCAAGUAGCACAACGACAUCCACUAGAAUGUCCUUGAGAAAAGGCAUGGCGAUGAAAUAUAGAUUAUGUGGUGGGGGUAGGGAACAACAAAUGAAAAUGUAUUGAAAGGCAACCAUAGCUGCAAAACAAAUCAAAUUUUAGUUUUGAGUCUUUUUUUUUUUUUUAAAUGAAGUUUUGGACAAAAAAUUUGUAGCCAAUUUUUUAAUAGGUGGUUAGUAAAUUUGAAGGAUUGAAUGACCUUGGUGAUCUUACAAAGAAAUUAGUUAUGAUUAAAAAAAUAAAAUAAAAAGUAAGGUAUAUUCAUUGGUUUAACAAUCUCC
rnacentral:lncRNA from 1 species